CUUUCUCCCGCGCGAGCGCCUGGCGGCGUUGCUCGGGGUGCGUCCUCCCGCCGCGGGGAGGCCGGGCCGCGGCAGGGUGGCGGAGGCCUCAUUUCCUGGCUCUGAGCAGCUCACGUGCACUCGUGGUGGCUGGACGUGCGUCUCCGGGUCCCCUCCUAAGGAAGUGUCAUGGCCUAAUCUGCUCAGACUUGAUUCUCAACUCCCUGCCUCUGUGACCCUGGACACGUUCUGUCACCUGCUCUGGCGGGGGGCAGUCAGGGUCAAACCAAGCAGAUUUAGUUGUGGAUGGAGAUUAUAGCAGAUGCUGCCUGGAGUCACCCUUGUUCUUUCGUCCAUGAAUGUUUUCCUGCACCCCAGCAGCUAAUGCUUGCCUCUCCCUGGAGGAAGACGCCCUCAGGUACAGCAGUUCACUCUGCCCUUGUGCUCAGAGAGCCCGAGGGGCCCGACACGCAAGGAGUGGAAGUGCCCACCCCAAGGGCAGCCCGGACUGGCUGGCGGACAGCAGUGGGGCAGGAACAUCGCAGCC